AGAGUUUGAUCAUGGCUCAGAUUGAACGCUGGCGGCAGGCCUAACACAUGCAAGUCGAACGGUAACAGGAAGCAGCUUGCUGCUUCGCUGACGAGUGGCGGACGGGUGAGUAAUGUCUGGGAAACUGCCUGAUGGAGGGGGAUAACUACUGGAAACGGUAGCUAAUACCGCAUAACGUCGCAAGACCAAAGAGGGGGACCUUCGGGCCUCUUGCCAUCGGAUGUGCCCAGAUGGGAUUAGCUAGUAGGUGGGGUAACGGCUCACCUAGGCGACGAUCCCUAGCUGGUCUGAGAGGAUGACCAGCCACACUGGAACUGAGACACGGUCCAGACUCCUACGGGAGGCAGCAGUGGGGAAUAUUGCACAAUGGGCGCAAGCCUGAUGCAGCCAUGCCGCGUGUAUGAAGAAGGCCUUCGGGUUGUAAAGUACUUUCAGCGGGGAGGAAGGCGAUAAGGUUAAUAACCUUGUCGAUUGACGUACCCGCAGAAGAAGCACCGGCUA
rnacentral:rRNA from 1 species